CGAUUAACACAUGCAAGUCGCACGAGAAAGGGAGCAAUCCUGAGUACAGUGGCGUACGGGUGAGUAACACGUGGAUCAUCUACCUUUUAGUGGGGAAUACCCCCGGGAAACUGGGGACAAUACCGCAUAAGCCCGCAAGGGGAAAGCAGCAAUGCGCUGAAAGAGGAGUCCGCGGUCGAUUAGCUGGAUGGCGGGGUAAUGGCCCACCAUGGCGAAGAUCGAUAGCCGGUCUGGGAGGGCACACGGCCACACUGGCACUGAAACACGGGCCAGACUCCUACGGGAGGCAGCAGUGGGGAAUCCUGCCCAAUGGAGGAAACUCUGAUGCAGCGACGCCGCGUGAGNCNNNCCCUUCGGGGUGUAAAGCUC
rnacentral:rRNA from 1 species